GAUGAACGCUGGCGGCGUGCCUAAUACAUGCAAGUCGAGCGAACAGACGAGGAGCUUGCUCCUCUGACGUUAGCGGCGGACGGGUGAGUAACACGUGGAUAACCUACCUAUAAGACUGGGAUAACUUCGGGAAACCGGAGCUAAUACCGGAUAAUAUAUUGAACCGCAUGGUUCAAUAGUGAAAGACGGUUUUGCUGUCACUUAUAGAUGGAUCCGCGCCGCAUUAGCUAGUUGGUAAGGUAACGGCUUACCAAGGCAACGAUGCGUAGCCGACCUGAGAGGGUGAUCGGCCACACUGGAACUGAGACACGGUCCAGAAUCCUACGGGAGGCAGCAGUAGGGAAUCUUCCGCAAUGGGCGAAAGCUUGACGGAGCAACGCCGCGGGAGUGAUGAAGGUCUUCGGAUCGUAAAACUCUGUUAUUAGGGAAGAACAAAUGUGUAAGUAACUAUGCACGUCUUGACGGUACCUAAUCAGAAAGCCACGGCUAACUACGU
rnacentral:rRNA from 1 species